rnacentral:rRNA from 1 species
GAAGACGGCCAUAGUAAUUAGGUCACACCUGUUCCCUUUCCGAACACAGAAGUUAAGCUAAUUACGUCUGCUGUUUUAGUCUCCGACAAGAGGCGAAGCAAGGAUGCUGUCUUCG